CCUACGGGUGGCAGCAGUAGGGAAUUUUCGUCAAUGGGCGCAAGCCUGAACGAGCAAUGCCGCGUGAACGAGGAAGGUCUUCGGAUCGUAAAGUUCUGUUGAAGGGGAAAAAGAGCGGAGAGAGGAAAUGCUUUCUGAUUGAUAUUACCCUUCGAGGAAGUCACGGCUAACUACGUGCCAGCAGCCGCGGUAAUACGUAGGUGGCGAGCGUUAUCCGGAAUGGUUGGGCGUAAAGGGUGCGUAGGCGGCCUGCUAAGUCUGGAGUGAAGGGUACCGGCUCAACCGGUACAGGCGCUGGAAACUGGCGGGCUAGAGGGCAGGAGAGGGCGGUGGAACUCCAUGUGUAGCGGUAAAAUGCGUAGAUAUAUGGAAGAACACCAGUGGCGAAGGCGGCCGCCUGGCCUGUUACUGACGCUGAGGCACGAAAGCGUGGGGAGCAAAUAGGAUUAGAUACCCUUGUAGUC
rnacentral:rRNA from 1 species